rnacentral:rRNA from 1 species
AAUAAUAGUUGUAGUGAGUUAUAAUAAAGGUUGAAAAUUGUCCUGCAUUGUUGUGAAGUAAAGGGGAUCUAUUCGAAGAAUCGGAUUGUUUUAUUUAGAAGUAGUUUUUAUCAAAACUUUUAAGAAGGACUAAAGUGAAAAAGUAUUGUAAAAGAAAUUAAAAAAAUUUAAAAGAAGAAAUUCUAAAGUUUUGUACCUUUUGUAUCAGGGGCUUUUUAUAUAUUUUAAUUAUUUAUAAUUCCCGAGAUAAGGUGAGCUAAUUUAAUAAAAGCAUUUAUGUAGAAAAAUGAAGCUUAAUAUUAAAUUAGUGGUGAUAUGCUAGCCGAACCUUAUAUAUCUGGUUGUUUCUGAAAUAAAUUUAAUUUAGUUUUUAUAAGCAAUUUUUGUAAAGUCAGAUUUUUAGGGGGAAGAGCUUCUAGAGUUAAAGCAAAAUAGAUUGAAAAGAAUAAGUAAAACUAGGCUUAGAAUCAGUCAUGCUAUCAUAUCGUUUUAGAAGGUGCUGUGAUUUAUUAUAUUUUAGUUUAUCAAUAGGUUUGUUUGUUAUUAAGAAAUUAACUAUGUAAAUGAAGUUUAAAGUAAAAUAUUGAUUGUAUUAGUAGAUAAUUCUUGUUUAAAUAGUUUUCAAGAUAUAAUUUGGGAUUUAAUAUCUUUGUGAUGUAUUCAAGGAACUCGACAAAUAACAUACUCACCUGUUUAUCAAAAACAUGUCUAUCUGAAAAUUUUUUAUAGUCUGGCCUGCCCACUGAGUUAUUAAAGGGCCGCGGUAUUUGGACCGUGCUAAGGUAGCAUAAUCAAUAGUCUUUUAAUUGGAGUCUAGAAUGAAAGGUCGGAUGGAGUAUAAUUUGUCUGCGAGUAUAAAAGUUGAACUUUACUUUUAAGUGAAAAGGCUUAAAUUAGUUAGUGGGACGAUAAGACCCUGUGAAGCUUUAUAUUUGUUUAACUUUAAUUUUUAAUAUUUGUGUGUUUAAAUUUAAAAUUAACAGAUAUUGUGUUGGGGCGACCAGAAUAUAUUUUUAACUGUUCUUGUUUGGCAAAUAAAUGAUUUUUAGAGAGCUGAUCCUUUAUUAAGGAUUAUAAGAUUUAAGUUACUCCAGGGAUAACAGCGUAAUUCUUUUUGAGAGUUCUUAUCGACAAAAGUAUUUGCGACCUCGAUGUUGAAUUAAGGUUUCAUUAAGAUGCAGGUGUCUUAAUUGUAGGUCUGUUCGACCUUUAAAAUCUUACAUGAUUUGAGUUCAGACCGGCGUGAGCCAGGUUAGUUUCUAUCUUCUACUUGUCAUGAAUCAUUUUAGUACGAAAGGAGUGAGUGGUUGGAAUAUUUCUUGAUAUUUAGAUUUACUUUAAUUACUUU